rnacentral:rRNA from 1 species
CCUACGGGGGGCAGCAGUGAGGAAUAUUGGUCAAUGGCCGGAAGGCUGAACCAGCCAAGCCGCGUGAAGGACGAAGGUGCCAAGCAUUGUAAACUUCUUUUGUCAAGGGACAAAAUCAGGCUCGAGAGCCUGACCGAGGGUACUUGAAGAAAAAGCAUCGGCUAACUCCGUGCCAGCAGCCGCGGUAAUACGUAGGGGGCAAGCGUUAUCCGGAUUUACUGGGUGUAAAGGGAGCGUAGACGGCGAUGCAAGUCUGAAGUGAAAGGCGGGGGCCCAACCCCCGGACUGCUUUGGAAACUGUAUGG